AUUAAUUCGAUGCAACGCGAAGAACCUUACCUGGGUUUGACAUGCACAGGACGUGUCCAGAGAUGGGCAUUCCCUCGUGGCCUGUGUGCAGGUGGUGCAUGGCUGUCGUCAGCUCGUGUCGUGAGAUGUUGGGUUAAGUCCCGCAACGAGCGCAACCCUUGUCUCAUGUUGCCAGCACGUCAUGGUGGGGACUCGUGAGAGACUGCCGGGGUCAACUCGGAGGAAGGUGGGGAUGACGUCAAGUCAUCAUGCCCCUUAUGUCCAGGGCUUCACACAUGCUACAAUGGCCGGUACAAAGGGCUGCGAUGCCGUGAGGUGGAGCGAAUCCUUUCAAAGCCGGUCUCAGUUCGGAUCGGGGUCUGCAACUCGACCCCGUGAAGUCGGAGUCGCUAGUAAUCGCAGAUCAGCAACGCUG
rnacentral:rRNA from 1 species